rnacentral:rRNA from 1 species
AGUGAACGCUAGCGGCAGGCUUAACACAUGCAAGUCGAGGGGUAUAGGUUUUCGGACCUAGAGACCGGCGCACGGGUGCGUAACGCGUAUGCACCGAUCUACCUUUUACAGAGGGAUAGCCCAGAGAAAUUUGGAUUAAUACCUCAUAGUAUUGUUGAAUGGCAUCAUUUAAUAAUUAAAGUUCCAAGACCGGUAAAAGAUGAGCAUGCGUCCCAUUAGCUAGAUGGUAAGGUAACGGCUUACCAUGGCGACGAUGGGUAGGGGUCCUGAGAGGGAGAUCCUGACCCACACUGGUACUGAGACACGGACCAGACUCCUACGGGAGGCAGCAGUGAGGAAUAUUGGUCAAUGGGCGCAAGCCUGAACCAGCCAUGCGGGCGCGUGCAGGAUGACGGUCCUAUGGAUUGUAAACUGCUUUUGUACAGGAAGAAACAGUUCUACGUGUAGAACCUUGACGGUACUGUAAGAACCGUAAGGAUCGGCUAACUCCGUGCCAGCAGCCGCGGUAAUACGGAGGAUCCAAGCGUUAUCCGGAAUCAUUGGGUUUAAAGGGUCCGUAGGCGCCCGUUUUGUAAGUCAGUGGUGAAAGCCCAUCGCUCAACGGUGGAACGGCCAUUGAUACUGCAAGACUUGAAUUACUAGGAAGUAACUAGAAUAACAUGUAGUGUAGCGGUGAAAUGCUUAGAUAUUACAUGGAAUACCAAUUGCGAAGGCAGGUUACUACUAGUGGAUUGACGCUGAUGGACGAAAGGUACGUGGGGAGCGAACAGGAUUAGAUACCCUGGUAGUCCACGCCGUAAACGAUGGAUACUAGCUGUUCGGAGCAAUCUGAGUGGCUAAGCGAAGUCAGUGAUAAGUAUCCCACCUGGGGAGUACGUUCGCAAGAAUGAAACUCAAAGGAAUUGACGGGGGCCCGCACAAGCGGUGGAGCAUGUGGUUUUCUAAUUCGAUGAUACGCGAGGAACCUUACCAAGGCUUAAAUGUAGAUUGACAGGGCUGGAAACGGUUUUUUCUUCGGACAAUUUACAAGGUGCGUCUGCAUGGUUGUCGUCAGCUCGUGCCGUGAGGUGUCAGGUUAAGUCCUAUAACGAGCGCAACCCCUGUUGUUAGUUGCCAGCGAGUCAUGUUGACGGGAACUCUAACAAGACUGCCAGUGUAAACUGUGAGGAAGGUGGGGAUGACGUCAAAUCAUCACGGCCCUUACGCCUUGGGCUACACACGUCGUGCUACAAUGGCCGGUACAGAGAGCAGCCACUGGGCGACCAGGAGCGAAUCUAUAAAACCGGUCACAGUUCGGAUCGGAGUCUGCAACUCGAUUACUCCGUGAAGCUGGAAUCGCUAGUAAUCGGAUAUCAGCCAUGAUCCGGUGAAUACGUUCCCGGGCCUUGUACACACCGCCCGUCAAGCCAGGUUGGAAGCUGGGGGUGCCUGAAGUCGGUGACCGCAAGGAGCUGCCUAGGGUAAAACUGGUAACUAGGGCU